rnacentral:rRNA from 1 species
GAUGAACGCUAGCGGGAGGCUUAACACAUGCAAGUCGAGGGGCAGCAUAGGGUAGCAAUACUCUGAUGGCGACCGGCAAACGGGUGAGUAACGCGUAUGCAACCUACCCUGUACAGGGGAUAACCCGGAGAAAUUCGGACUAAUAUCCCGUAAUAAUAUCCGGAGGCAUCUUUGGAUAUUUAAAGUUCCGACGGUACGGGAUGGGCAUGCGUAACAUUAACUGGUUGGUAAGGUAACGGCUUACCAAGGCUAUGAUGUUUAGGGGUCCUGAGAGGGUGGUCCCCCACACUGGUACUGAGACACGGACCAGACUCCUACGGGAGGCAGCAGUGAGGAAUAUUGGUCAAUGGGCGCAAGCCUGAACCAGCCAUCCCGCGUGCAGGAAGACGGCCCUAUGGGUUGUAAACUGCUUUUCCAGGGAGAGAAACUUACGCACGUGUUGCGUGACUGACGGUACCCUGGGAAUAAGCAUCGGCUAACUCCGUG